rnacentral:rRNA from 1 species
AUUGAACGCUGGCGGCAUGCUUUACACAUGCAAGUCGAACGGCAGCGCGGGCUUCGGCCUGGCGGCGAGUGGCGAACGGGUGAGUAAUACAUCGGAACGUGCCCAGUAGUGGGGGAUAGCUCGGCGAAAGCCGGAUUAAUACCGCAUACGACCUGAGGGUGAAAGCGGGGGAUCUUCGGACCUCGCGCUAUUGGAGCGGCCGAUGGCAGAUUAGCUAGUUGGUGGGGUAAAGGCCUACCAAGGCGACGAUCUGUAGCUGGUCUGAGAGGACGACCAGCCACACUGGGACUGAGACACGGCCCAGACUCCUACGGGAGGCAGCAGUGGGGAAUUUUGGACAGUGGGCGAAAGCCUGAUCCAGCAAUGCCGCGUGUGUGAUGAAGGCCUUCGGGUUGUAAAGCACUUUUGGCGGGAACGAAAAGGACUGUGCCAAUACCACGGUUCGAUGACGGUACCCGCAGAAUAAGCACCGGCUAACUACGU